rfam:Fragilariopsis cylindrus CCMP1102 unplaced genomic scaffold FRACYscaffold_26, whole genome shotgun sequence.
GUUGUCGCGACAGUAAUCCAACUUAGUACGAGAGGAACCGUUGGUUCGGAUAUUUGGUAAUGGGGUUGGCUGAACAGCCAAUGCCCCGAAGCUAUCAUCCGUAGGAUUAUGACUGAACGCCUCUAAGUCAGAAUCCAUGCUGGCAGCGACGAUAUUCACCUUGACCGGUGUUUUUGUACCGAUAGCCUUUAUGGUCAACACGCUACUUCACCACACUACCAAAUGUUGGUCGAGUUAAAUCCUCUGUAGACGACUUGAAUGGAACGGGGUACUGUAAGCAUGAGAGUAGCCCUUGUGCUACGAUCUGCUGAGGUUCAGCCUCUGUUCCGGGAUUU